rnacentral:misc_RNA from 2 species
AACGCACCUUGCGCCUUUUGGUAUUCCGAAAGGCACACCUGUUUGAGUGUCAUGAAUCUCUCAACCCUAUUAUUUCUUGACGAAACGAUAGUGGCUUGGAUCCUGAGCGUUGCUGUUAUAUCAAUGACAGCUCGUUCGAAAUGUAUAAGCCAUCUCCUUUCUACUCGGAUUGACUCGGCGUGAUAAGAUCUUCGUCGAGGACGCUUUAACCAGCGGCCGAAAUGUAUUAGAGUAGCUUCUAAACUGCCUUUGCGCACUAUAACUUUAGACCUCAAAUCAGGUGGGACUACCCGCUGAACUUAA